CCAGGAGAAGAGCAUACUCCCUUACUUCUGCAAUGUAAAUGGAACCAGAGGCAAGAGGCAACCCUAUGUAGAUUCACUGCAAGGCUCCACCUUGGUUCUGGAGCAUGAAAGAUGCCACAAAAGGCCUCCUCUCGUAAGAAAGCAGGCUCAUCAGUGGGCAGAACCACUCACAAGUCUGAUAGCAGGGGCGGUUAUCAGCAGAUAAACAAGCCUGAUUCUGCAGUUUGGACCUUCCUUGCAUUGGAAAAGAAGAAAAGAGCUAAUUCAGCUAGAGAAGGCGAGGCAUUGCUCCUAGCGUGGCUUUCUGUCAUCAAGGCAAAGCAAAGGAUGCAAACCCACCUUCCCCAUGUAGCCCUUCAUAUACGGAAAGACGUAUCUCUUGUCCUCCAUUCCCUUCCUCUGGAUAAAUGUCCACCAUUUCUUCAACUCUUCCUACUGUAGCAUGGUGUUGAGGCCCUGCCCCAUCCUGGCCCUCCAGACAGGUUCAAGCUUAUAAGUGACCAUCCUCAAAUGUGCCCAGGGGCGCUCUUACCAGAGAAAGUCAGUGAGGGCUAUUCUCUUCCCGUCUUGCCCAGGAGCAUGCCACCUUGGGGCUGCCAAUCACUGCUGACUUGUGUUGAAGCUAUUAAAACUCUUAGGUCUUUUUUCAGACAAUGCUUUCUGGGCACACCUCCCUCUCAUGUCUUUUACUUGUGAAUUUGAAUUUUUGAACUCAUCGGACUUUACAUUUAUCCCUGUCAAAUUUCCUCUCCAGCAUUCUAAAUUUGUCAAUCUUGGUCACUGAACAAGUUAGCCAUUCUCCCUAGCUUUGUAUGUGUUUCUGUUAUGAUGAGCAUGCUAUGAAUGAUUGCAUCAAGACAUUUACAAAAAUGAUCUAGACUACAGGGCUAAGACCAAUUGUUCAUCUCUAAUUGCCCUUCAGACAUCUUAAACUGGAUGUCCAGUAAAUGUCUUAAACUCAACAUAUCCAAAAUGGAACUCAUGAUCUUUCCCCCAACCCCCCUUUCCUUCUACCUUCCUUAUUACUGCUGAGGGCAACACCCUUGACUGUCAGGAUCACCACCCAAGAUUCAUCCUAGACUCCUCACUGUCUCUCACCUCCCAGAUCCAAUAUGAUGCCAAGACCUGUCAAUUUCACCUCUGCAGCAUCCCUUGUCGAUUUCACCUCUGCAGCAUCCCUUGUCGAUUUCACCUCUGCAGCAUCCCUUGUCGAUUUCACCUCUGCUGCAUCUCUUGUCAAUUUCACCUCUCCAGCAUCUCCAAUACACCCCCUUCUCUCUUCUGACCCUACCCCACCCUGGUACAGGCCCUCACACCUGAACUAUUACAGUAGGAGAUGGGGAUCUCCCUGCCUCAGUCUCUUCCCACCCCAGUCCAUCCUCCAGUCAUUAAAUGAUUUUCCUACAGCACAAGUCUGACCAUGUUGCCCCUACUCAACAAACUCCAGGGGCCCCCUAUCACUCACAGGAGCAAUUACAAAAUGCUCUGUCUGGCAAUCCAAGCCACUCUUAACCUGCUCCCUCCUGCCUUCCCAGUCUCCUUAUGCCGGAGUCCCCCAAGUGACACAGGCUUUCUGGCUAAUCCACAACAAGGCUCUCCAUUUCUCUGUCCCCAGGCAUUCUAACUGCCCUCCAUCCCCCGCCCCAGGCCUGGAAUACUCUCCCUCCUCUGCUCCAGCCUCUGACCUCUCUGGCUUCCUUUAAUUCCCAACUAAACCCUCCCUUCUAUAGGAAGCCUUCCUCAUCCCCCCUCUUCAUUCCAGUGCCUUCUGUCUGUUGAUUAUGUCCCCUUUAUCCUGUACACACUUUGCUUCGUAUGUAUUUGUUUGCCUGUUUGAAGUUUUCCCCAUCAGACUGUGAACCCCUUGAGGGCAGGGGCUGUUU